CAAUAGCGUAUAUUAAAGUUGUUGCGGUUAAAAAGCUCGUAGUUGGAUUUCUACCGAAGACAGCCGGUCCACACUACGUGUGCGCAUCUGGUGUGGCUUUGGUAUCCUCAUGGAGAACAGUUCUGCGCUUCAUUGCGUGGACUGGUAUUCAUGACUUUUACUUUGAGGAAAUUAGAGUGUUCACGACAGGCGUUUGCCUUGAAUACAUUAGCAUGGAAUAAUAAUAUAGGACUUUGGCCCUAUUUUGUUGGUUUCUAGAGCUGAAGUAAUGAUUAAUAGGGACACUUGGGGGCAUUCGUAUUAUCACGUCAGAGGUGGAAUUCUUGGAUUUGUUGAAGACGGACUACUGCGAAAGCAUCUGCCAAAGAUGUUCUCAUUGAUCAAGAACGAAAGUUAGGUGAUCGAAGAUGAUUAGAUACCAU
rnacentral:rRNA from 1 species